GCCUCGGUAGCUCAGUUGGUAGAGCAAGGGACUGAAAAUCCCUGUGUCAGCGGUUCGAUUCCACUCUGAGGCACCA
rnacentral:tRNA from 1 species